CACGUUGGUAUCUGCCCCCAAGUCAGGGAUAGCCAUUGGAAACGAUGAUUAAUACCGGAUAGUCUCUUCGGAGUAAAGAUUUAUUGCUUGGGGAGGAGCCUGCGUUCUAUCAGCUAGUUGGUGAGGUAAUAGCUCACCAAGGCAAUGACGGAUAGUUGGUCUGAGAGGAUGAUCAGCCACAAUGGAACUGAGACACGGUCCAUACUCCUACGGGAGGCAGCAGUGAGGAAUCUUCCACAAUGGACGAAAGUCUGAUGGAGCGACACCGCGUGAAGGAUGAAGGCCUAACGGUUGUAAACU
rnacentral:rRNA from 1 species